UCGAGCGGACGACGGGAGCUUGCUCCCUUAGGUCAGCGGCGGACGGGUGAGUAACACGUGGGUAACCUGCCUGUAAGACUGGGAUAACUCCGGGAAACCGGGGCUAAUACCGGAUGCUUGAUUGAACCGCAUGGUUCAAUCAUAAAAGGUGGCUUUUAGCUACCACUUACAGAUGGACCCGCGGCGCAUUAGCUAGUUGGUGAGGUAACGGCUCACCAAGGCGACGAUGCGUAGCCGACCUGAGAGGGUGAUCGGCCACACUGGGACUGAGACACGGCCCAGACUCCUACGGGAGGCAGCAGUAGGGAAUCUUCCGCAAUGGACGAAAGUCUGACGGAGCAACGCCGCGUGAGUGAUGAAGGUUUUCGGAUCGUAAAACUCUGUUGUUAGGGAAGAACAAGUACCGUUCGAAUAGGGCGGCACCUUGACGGUACCUAACCAGAAAGCCACGGCUAACUACGUGCCAGC
rnacentral:rRNA from 1 species